UCACCGAUAUAAGAUUGUCUGGUGGUUCAAGCAGGUUCGACGGCCGGGUGGAACUGUUUGCAAAAGGAGUUUGGGGCUCGGUUUGUGCCAACAAUUUUUCUCCAGCAUAUGGCAAGAUGCUUUGUCAAAUGAUGAAUUUAACAUAUAUUAAUCAUUACUGCUGUUCACUAAACGGAAAUGGGGCGUUACUUCUGCAUAUAACAAGUUGCCCUAAUACAUCAAAUCAUAUCAACAAGUGUGUGUAUAAACCGCUACCAUCGUAUUGGCUUUGUUCGCCUUCAAACACGACGUCUUUGGUUUGCUCGGAAUGCCCCGCUCUGCUUGUGUCUGGUGGUUCGUUGUCAUACAACACAAAUGGCACCAUUGCCACACUGACCUGCAAUGCCGGAUUAACUUCAAAUAUCACCACAUUUGUUUGCAAGGCAGGUCAGUGGUCACAACAGGCAGCAAUCUGCC